rnacentral:rRNA from 1 species
GACUCGUCACACUAUCAUUAACUGAAUCCAUAGGUUAAUGAGGCGAACCGGGGGAACUGAAACAUCUAAGUACCCCGAGGAAAAGAAAUCAACCGAGAUUCCCCCAGUAGCGGCGAGCGAACGGGGAGGAGCCCAGAGCCUGAAUCAGCAUGUGUGUUAGUGGAAGCGUCUGGAAAGGCGCGCGAUACAGGGUGACAGCCCCGUACACAAAAGCGCAUGUGCUGUGAGCUCGAUGAGUAGGGCGGGACACGUGGUAUCCUGUCUGAAUAUGGGGGGACCAUCCUCCAAGGCUAAAUACUCCUGACUGACCGAUAGUGAACCAGUACCGUGAGGGAAAGGCGAAAAGAACCCCGGCGAGGGGAGUGAAAAAGAACCUGAAACCGUGUACGUACAAGCAGUGGGAGCCCCACCACUAAGCCAGUGGUGAACUCCACAUACGCAUCCUUUGCUGAGGAUACGGUUAACGGAGCGCAAGCGACGUUCAACCGCAAAAGAAGCAGAGGGGGCUUAGUGGUGGGGUGACUGCGUACCUUUUGUAUAAUGGGUCAGCGACUUAUAUUCUGUAGCAAGGUUAACCGAAUAGGGGAGCCGGAGGGAAACCGAGUCUUAAUUGGGCGUUAAGUUGCAGGGUAUAGACCCGAAACCCGGUGAUCUAGCCAUGGGCAGGUUGAAGGUUGGGUAACACUAACUGGAGGACCGAACCGACUAAUGUUGAAAAAUUAGCGGAUGACCUGUGGCUGGGGGUGAAAGGCCAAUCAAACCGGGAGAUAGCUGGUUCUCCCCGAAAGCUAUUUAGGUAGCGCCUCGUGAAUUCAUCUCCGGGGGUAGAGCACUGUUUCGGCUAGGGGGCCAUCCCGGCUUACCAACCCGAUGCAAACUGCGAAUACCGGAGAAUGUUAUCACGGGAGACACACGGCGGGUGCUAACGUCCGUCGUGAAGAGGGAAACAACCCAGACCGCCAGCUAAGGUCCCAAAGUCAUGGUUAAGUGGGAAACGAUGUGGGAAGGCCCAGACAGCCAGGAUGUUGGCUUAGAAGCAGCCAUCAUUUAAAGAAAGCGUAAUAGCUCACUGGUCGAGUCGGCCUGCGCGGAAGAUGUAACGGGGCUAAACCAUGCACCGAAGCUGCGGCAGCGACGCUGAUGCGUUGUUGGGUAGGGGAGCGUUCUGUAAGCCUGCGAAGGUGGCCUGUGAGGGUUGCUGGAGGUAUCAGAAGUGCGAAUGCUGACAUAAGUAACGAUAAAGCGGGUGAAAAGCCCGCUCGCCGGAAGACCAAGGGUUCCUGUCCAACGUUAAUCGGGGCAGGGUGAGUCGACCCCUAAGGCGAGGCCGAAAGGCGUAGUCGAUGGGAAACGGGUUAAUAUUCCCGUACUUGGUGUUACUGCGAAGGGGGGACGGAGAAGGCUAUGUUGGCCGGGCGACGGUUGUCCCGGUUUAAGCGUGUAGGUGUGUGUUCCAGGUAAAUCCGGUUCACUUUAACACUGAGGCGUGAUGACGAGGCACUACGGUGCUGAAGCAACAAAUGCCCUGCUUCCAGGAAAAGCCUCUAAGCAUCAGGUAACAUCAAAUCGUACCCCAAACCGACACAGGUGGUCAGGUAGAGAAUACCAAGGCGCUUGAGAGAACUCGGGUGAAGGAACUAGGCAAAAUGGUGCCGUAACUUCGGGAGAAGGCACGCUGACACGUAGGUGAAGUGAUUUACUCAUGGAGCUGAAGUCAGUCGAAGAUACCAGCUGGCUGCAACUGUUUAUUAAAAACACAGCACUGUGCAAACACGAAAGUGGACGUAUACGGUGUGACGCCUGCCCGGUGCCGGAAGGUUAAUUGAUGGGGUCAGCGCAAGCGAAGCUCCUGAUCGAAGCCCCGGUAAACGGCGGCCGUAACUAUAACGGUCCUAAGGUAGCGAAAUUCCUUGUCGGGUAAGUUCCGACCUGCACGAAUGGCGUAAUGAUGGCCAGGCUGUCUCCACCCGAGACUCAGUGAAAUUGAACUCGCUGUGAAGAUGCAGUGUACCCGCGGCAAGACGGAAAGACCCCGUGAACCUUUACUAUAGCUUGACACUGAACAUUGAGCCUUGAUGUGUAGGAUAGGUGGGAGGCUUUGAAGUGUGGACGCCAGUCUGCAUGGAGCCGACCUUGAAAUACCACCCUUUAAUGUUUGAUGUUCUAACGUGGACCCGUGAUCCGGGUUGCGGACAGUGUCUGGUGGGUAGUUUGACUGGGGCGGUCUCCUCCUAAAGAGUAACGGAGGAGCACGAAGGUUGGCUAAUCCUGGUCGGACAUCAGGAGGUUAGUGCAAUGGCAUAAGCCAGCUUGACUGCGAGCGUGACGGCGCGAGCAGGUGCGAAAGCAGGUCAUAGUGAUCCGGUGGUUCUGAAUGGAAGGGCCAUCGCUCAACGGAUAAAAGGUACUCCGGGGAUAACAGGCUGAUACCGCCCAAGAGUUCAUAUCGACGGCGGUGUUUGGCACCUCGAUGUCGGCUCAUCACAUCCUGGGGCUGAAGUAGGUCCCAAGGGUAUGGCUGUUCGCCAUUUAAAGUGGUACGCGAGCUGGGUUUAGAACGUCGUGAGACAGUUCGGUCCCUAUCUGCCGUGGGCGCUGGAGAACUGAGGGGGGCUGCUCCUAGUACGAGAGGACCGGAGUGGACGCAUCACUGGUGUUCGGGUUGUCAUGCCAAUGGCACUGCCCGGUAGCUAAAUGCGGAAGAGAUAAGUGCUGAAAGCAUCUAAGCACGAAACUUGCCCCGA